CCUACGGGAGGCAGCAGUGAGGAAUAUUGGUCAAUGGGCGCGAGCCUGAACCAGCCAAGUCGCGUGAGGGAAGACGGUCCUAUGGAUUGUAAACCUCUUUUGUCGGGGAGCAAAAGACGCCACGCGUGGCGUUCCGAGAGUACCCGAAGAAAAAGCAUCGGCUAACUCCGUGCCAGCAGCCGCGGUAAUACGGAGGAUGCGAGCGUUAUCCGGAUUUAUUGGGUUUAAAGGGUGCGCAGGCGGAAGAUCAAGUCAGCGGUAAAAUUGAGAGGCUCAACCUCUUCGAGCCGUUGAAACUGGUUGUCUUGAGUGAGCGAGAAGUAUGCGGAAUGCGUGGUGUAGCGGUGAAAUGCAUAGAUAUCACGCAGAACCCCGAUUGCGAAGGCAGCAUGCCGGCUUCCGACUGACGCUGAAGCACGAAAGCGUGGGGAUCGAACAGGAUUAGAUACCCUUGUAGUC
rnacentral:rRNA from 1 species